UCUUCAUUUUCUUUUACUCAAAUGGUCAAAGUAUAUUAUAAGGGAAACGUCGUAGGGGAAGUCCAUCUUUUCGCGUUCGAGAAGUGUCUCGUAGAUGAUCUGUCUAAUAUGUUUGGAGUGACAGUUAAUUGCGACGGAAAUAGCUGUGUAUGUAGAAAUCAGUAUACGUUGACGUAUACAGACAACGAUGAAAAUUGGAGAAUGGCCGGAGACAUCCCUUGGGACAAUUUUCUGAGUACAGUUCAAGUAUUGAUCCUUUGGAGGCCGGAACCCCAACCAACCACUUUACAACUCUUCAAAUGAAGUGAAUUAUUAUCUAAAUAUCUAAUUAUUUCUGUAUUACAAAGUCAACUUAUAUAAUUUAUGUAAACAAAAACUAUACUUUUACCAACUAUUUAAACAA